AUACGGGAGGCAGCAGUGGGGAAUAUUGCGCAAUGGGGGAAACCCUGACGCAGCAACGCCGCGUGAAUGAUGAAGGCCUUAGGGUUGUAAAGUUCUGUCUUCUGGGACGAUAAUGACGGUACCAGAGGAGGAAGCCACGGCUAACUACGUGCCAGCAGCCGCGGUAAUACGUAGGUGGCAAGCGUUGUCCGGAUUUACUGGGCGUAAAGGAUGCGUAGGCGGAUAUUUAAGUCAGAUGUGAAAUACCCGGGCUCAACUUGGGUGCUGCAUUUGAAACUGGAUAUCUAGAGUGCGGGAGAGGUAAGUGGAAUUCCUAGUGUAGCGGUGAAAUGCGUAGAGAUUAGGAAGAACACCAGUGGCGAAGGCGACUUACUGGACCGUAACUGACGCUGAGGCAUGAAAGCGUGGGGAGCAAACAGGAUUAGAUACCCCGGUAGC
rnacentral:rRNA from 1 species